AGCAGUCGCCGCGGGAAUACGAAGGGGGCUAGCGUUGCUCGGAAUUACUGGGCGUAAAGGGAGCGUAGGCGGAUCGUUUAGUCAGGGGUGAAAUCCCGGGGCUCAACCUCGGAACUGCCUUUGAUACUGGCGAUCUUGAGUAUGGGAGAGGUGUGUGGAACUCCGAGUGUAGAGGUGAAAUUCGUAGAUAUUCGGAAGAACACCAGUGGCGAAGGCGACACACUGGCCCAUUGCUGACGCUGAGGCUCGAAAGCGUGGGGAGCAAACAGGAUUAGAUACCCCUGUAGUCCCUGUCUCUUAUAC
rnacentral:rRNA from 1 species